rnacentral:tRNA from 1 species
GCGUUUGUAGCUCAGUGGAUAGAGCGUCUGCCUCCGGAGCAGAAGGUCGCAAGUUCGAUCCUUGCCAGACGCA